CACAAGGAGGUGAUUCUGACUAAGAAUAACUUGGCAAAGCGAAGAUGGGAGGGUAGUCAACGAUGUCGCUUUUGUGAUCAAGAUGAAACUAUUAAACACCUCUUCCUCGAUUGUCCGCUAGCCACACUACUAACAAGGCGCCUACGCGCCGCCCGCAAAGACUCCUAUGUGAGGGUUGCUUGCAUGUGGGAGCUCGUACUGGGCUGGCCUAGUAACCACGUGGCCUCAUCAUGCUGA
rnacentral:rRNA from 1 species